rnacentral:tRNA from 1 species
GCCGGAGUAGCUCAGCUGGUAGAGCAGCUGAUUCGUAAUCAGCAGGUAGUGGGUUCAAAUCCCAUCUCCGGCU